UGUCCCGUGCUAUUAGACUUAGGCGCUAAAAAGACAGCUAAAAUGAAAUAUUAGGUGGCAAAUAUAAUAGACUUAGGCGCCAAAUGAAAGAAAAAACCCUUACCCUAAUCUCUAAGGUUGAAUCCCUAAUAACCCUUUACGCCUCCUCUCUCACACUCAGUAACUCUCUCUCGUUCUAUCUUUCUCUCUUAGCUACUCUCUCGUUCAAUCCUUCUUUCCUUCUCUCUGUUUGUUGCAGGUGUGUAACAAGGUGAUGGGGGCCCGCGACUUGGGUCGUAUGACAGGGAGGCUCGAUUCGUGGGUCUAUGGCGUGGCUCGCUCGUGGGUGCGAUGGUGCUUGCGGCGGUGGGUCUACGACAUGGCUCGACUGGUCUAUCUUCCAUCGGGUCUCAAUCUUCCAUCUCUGUAUUUCCCUUUGUUUCUCAAGAAAAUUCUUGGGGAAAUUGGUUGUUUUGCAAGUUUGUACAUUAUUUUUUAAUUAUUUACAGGGUGUUACAAUACUUUAGUAGUCUAAUCCAAAUUCUACAUCCCAAAAUCAGAUACGAUUUGGGGUUUGUAGAUUCAACUUGUUUCCGUGUCUAUGUGAAAGUCAGAUGUGAAGAGAUGGUGGAGACAACUGACUUAACAUUAAUGUAGUUGCAGGUACUUAUUUCUAAAGCUUAAGAUCUAUGACUAGUAUUUCUGGAUUCAAUGCUAGAUUUGCAUAAACUGUGUUAUUUCCUUUUUUUUCUUCAUUUUUCUUAUUUAUAUUUUUAUCUUGUAGAAGAUGAAAUAUCUUAGGCUAGAAUCAUUUCUGUGAAAUUGGUGAAAGUUCUGGUCUGUUUUAUAUUGAUUAUCUUAAGAUCAUGCCUUUUUAGCGAAUUUGACUGCUUAUAUUGUUGAUUAUAUGGGUUCUAUAUCCAUGGUUUGAAUGUUGAAAUAUUAAAGUUGAGAAAUGUUGAUCUUAGGGUUAUUAUUGGAAAUUUUUAUUCUUUUAUUUAUUUUACUAUUGUUACGAGGUUUUUGAUUUUGAGAUUGGGAGUUGUAGGAUUUUGUAUCUAUAAUUUUUCAUUGAUUCGAUGUUUGAGAGGAUCUAGGGAUAUAGGGCUAGUCGAUGAAAAUAAGAUAAAAAAGAUUUGAACUCCUCUCAUUAAGUAGUUACGGUAUAAUAGUUCUCCAUUUGAAAAUAGAUUGAGUUCAUUUAAAUAAUUUUUUCCAUUUAUUGUUCUGUGCCACAACUCAGUGUGUUCUUUAUAGUAAUAUUUGUGUACCUUUUUAUUUGUUUGCCAUUGAUUCAUUUAAAUAUUAACAGAGCUUUUCCUACUUUACUUUUGUAGGAUUAAUGAGAAUAAUUGCUAGGAUACAUAUGCUUGGGGCUCUAAAUGGUGUGAAGAUGGACUUGGCAAAUGUUGUUUCCCCUUUGCUUAUAGCAUAGCUAGAGAGCUUGAUUUGAAGGAAUGGACUUCCAGGACUGAAACUGCUAAUGUGCUGCAUGAGCCAGUAUGUCUCUUUUCAUCUCAUCUCAUCUCAUCUUGCAAGUCAUUUAUAAUUUAAGUAGUUUCUUUUUCUCUAGAGUUAAUUAUGAGAAAUUCAUAAACAUUGUUUGGUAAAUGAAAAUUGUA